rnacentral:rRNA from 1 species
GACGAACGCUGGCGGCGUGCCUAAUACAUGCAAGUAGAACGCUGAAGGCUGCGCUUGCUCUUCGGUAUCAGUUGCGCGAGUGUCGAACACGUGUAGGACACCUGACUGGUAUCGGGGGAACUCUGUUAUAAACGAUAGCUACUACCUCAUAUUCGUAGAUGUUGCAUGACAUUUUCUUAAAAGGUGCAAUUGCAUUACUACCAGAUGGACCUGCGUUGUAUUAGCUAGUUGGUGGGGUAACGGCUCACCCAGGCGAAGAUACAUAGCCGACCGGAGAGGGGGGACGGCGAACGGGGGACUUAGAAACGGGCCAGACUCCUGCGGGAGGCAGCAGUAAGGAGUGUGGGGCAAUGGACGGAAGGCGGACCGAGCAACGCCGCGUGAGUGAAGAAGGUUGUCGGACCGUAAAGCUCUGUUGUAUUAGGAGAGCGAGUGUGAGAGUGGAAAGGUCACGCUGUGACGGUAGCUGAACAGAAAGGGACGGCUAACUACGUG